CCAAUAGCGUAUAUUAAAGUUGUUGCAGUUAAAAAGCUCGUAGUUGAAUUUCGGGAUUAGUAGGUUGGUCGUGCCUCAGGUAUGUACUGAUCUUACUGAUUCCUCCUUCCUGAUGAACCGUAAUGCCAUUAAUUUGGUGUUGCGGGGAAACUGGACUGUUACUUUGAAAAAAUUAGAGUGUUUAAAGCAGGCUAACGCUUGAAUACAUUAGCAUGGAAUAAUGAAAUAGGACGUUCAAUCCUAUUUUGUUGGUUUCUAGGAUUGACGUAAUGAUUAAUAGGGAUAGUUGGGGGCAUUAGUAUUCAAUUGUCAGAGGUGAAAUUCUUGGAUUUAUUGAAGACUAACUACUGCGAAAGCAUUUGCCAAGGAUGUUUUCAUUAAUCAAGAACGAAAGUUAGGGGAUCGAAGACGAUCAGAUACCGUCGUAGUCUUAACCAUAAACUAUGCCGACUAGGGAUCGGAUGAUGUUAAUUUUUUAAUGACUCAUUCGGCGCCUUACG
rnacentral:rRNA from 1 species